GCGGACGGGUAAGUAAUGUCUGGGAAAACUGCCUUAUGAGGGGGAUACUACUGAAACGGUAGCUAAUACGCAUACGUCGCAAGACCAAAGAGGGGGACUUCGGGCCUCUUGCCAUCAGAUUCCAGAUGGAUAGCUAUAGUGGGGUAACGGCUCACCUAGCGACGAUCCCUACUGUCUGAGAGGAUACCAGCCACACUGGAACUGAACACGGUCCAACUCCUACGGGAGGCAGAGUGGGGAAUAUUGCACAAUGGGCGCAAGCCUGAUGCAGCCAUGCCGCGUGUAUGAAGAAGGCCCUCGGGUUGUAAAGUACUUUCAGCGGGGAGGAAGGUGUUGUGGUUAAUAACCACAGCAAUUGACGUUACCCGCAGAAGAAGCACCGGCUAACUCCGUGCCAGCAGCCGCGGGUAAUACGGAGGGUAGCAAGCGUUAAUCGGGAAUUACUGGGCGUAAAGGCGCACGCAGGCGGUCUGUCAAGUCGGAUGUAGAAAUCCCCGGGGCUCAAACCUGGGAACUUGCAUUCCGAAACUUGGCAGGCUAGAAGUCUUGUUAGAGGAGGGGGUAGAAUUCCAGGGUGUAGCGGGUGAAAAUGCGGUAGGA
rnacentral:rRNA from 1 species